rnacentral:rRNA from 1 species
GAUGAACGCUGGCGGCGUGCCUAAUACAUGCAAGUCGAGCGAACGGACGAGAAGCUUGCUUCUCUGAUGUUAGCGGCGGACGGGUGAGUAACACGUGGAUAACCUACCUAUAAGACUGGGAUAACUUCGGGAAACCGGAGCUAAUACCGGAUAAUAUUUUGAACCGCAUGGUUCAAAAGUGAAAGACGGUCUUGCUGUCACUUAUAGAUGUAUCCGCGCUGCAUUAGCUAGUUGGUAAGGUAACGGCUUACCAAGGCAACGAUGCAUAGCCGACCUGAGAGGGUGAUCGGCCACACUGGAACUGAGACACGGUCCAGACUCCUACGGGAGGCAGCAGUAGGGAAUAUUCCGCAAUGGGCGAAAGCCUGACGGAGCAACGCCGCGUGAGUGAUGAAGGUCUUCGGAUCGUAAAACUCUGUUAUUAGGGAAGAACAUAUGUGUAAGUAACUGUGCACAUCUUGACGGUACCAAAACAGAAAGCCACGGCUAACUACGUG